GACGAACGCUGGCGGCAUGCCUAAUACAUGCAAGUCGAGCGAACAGAUGGAGUGCUUGCACUUCUGACGUUAGCGGCGAACGGGUGAGUAGCACGUAAGGAAUCUACCUAUAAGCGGGGGAUAACAUUCGGAAACGGGUGCUAAUACCGCAUAAUAUCUUCUUCCGCAUGGAAGAAGAUUGAAAGACGGCUCUGCUGUCACUUAUAGAUGACCUUGCGGUGCAUUAGUUAGUUGGUGGGGUAACGGCCUACCAAGACGAUGAUGCAUAGCCGACCUGAGAGGGGGAUCGGCCACAUGGGGACUGAGAGACGGCCCAAACUCCUACGGGAGGCAGCAGUAGGGAAUCUUCCGCAAUGGGCGAAAGCCUGACGGAGCAAUGCCGCGUGAGUGAAGAAGGCCUUCGGGUCGUAAAACUCUGUUAUAAGAGAAGAACAAAUUGUAGAGUAACUGCUACAGUCCUGACGGUAUCUUAUCAGAAAGCCACGGCUAACUACGUGCCAGCCGCCGCCGUAA
rnacentral:rRNA from 1 species